AGCAGUAAUUAUGUUAAUUUAGGAUGUAAUGACAGGAAUUCAUGAGCUAUGCCUCAGGCUUUCUGAAAAAAUAUCAAUGACAAUGUAAACAGGAACAAAACAUUGACACGAAUGAUGCUCUCUUCUAUGUUAUAGUUAUUUAGGUAUGUGUGUUGCACAAGUUUCAAAAAAACUUAAGUUAUAAAACUUUUUUCAGGGCACAAACCCACUUUAAAGAGACUUGUCUACUGCCAUACCCAUCCUAUUUUUCAUGCACCAUUUGCAAGCAAGAGACUGAAUGGUUUGCAAAAUUAAAAAUCAGGACGGUGUCCAAUUAAAC
rnacentral:lncRNA from 1 species